rnacentral:rRNA from 1 species
AAAGGAAUUGACGGGGGCCCGCACAAGCGGUGGAGCAUGUGGUUUAAUUCGAUGGUACGCGAAGAACCUUACCAGGGUUUGACAUACAGAUGACCGAUUUAGAGAUAAGUCUUUCUUUUAGACAUUUGUACAGGUGCUGCAUGGCUGUCGUCAGCUCGUGUUGUGAGAUGUUGGGUUAAGUCCCGCAACGAGCGCAACCCCUACUGUUAGUUGCCAUCAGGUAAAGCUGGGCACUCUAACGGAACUGCCGGUGACAAAUCGGAGGAAGGUGGGGAUGACGUCAAGUCCUCAUGGCCCUUAUGUCCUGGGCUACACACGUGCUACAAUGGGCUGCACAAAAGGUAGCAAACUCGCGAGAGUAAGCCAAUCCUAAAAACAGUCCUCAGUUCAGAUUGGAGUCUGCAACUCGACUCCAUGAAGUCGGAAUCGCUAGUAAUCACAGAUCAGCAUGCUGUGGUGAAUACGUUCCCGGGCCUUGUACACACCGCCCGU